UGAUUUUCCUCCCAAAUCCAUGCUCUUUCUGAUCCAUAGCUGGGCCCUCAGUUUCCUCCUCUGGGGGAUGGAGCUAAUGCAGUAUCAUAGGGCUGCUGAGAGCUGAGGGGGAGCAACUAGGUGAAAAAAAUCAGGCUCCAUAAAUGUUAUAUUACUUCCUGCCUUCCUCCCCCUGGAUGGCUGAUCAGGGCCAUUUCUCCAAGUAAUUUAGCAAGGCGAGUGUCUGCGGUCCCUCUCCUCGCAGACUCCUGCCCUGCACUGAUAAGUUUUAUUAGCAAAGAGGGAAGGGAUUUUCUACGACCAAAUUUCUUCUGGGCUUUCCAGGAGAAAUUGAUGGAGCUGCCCGGCUCCUUGGCCGGCACUUCAUCCUGAUGGGAUUGCCUGGGCUGUGCGGGGACUGAGCGCUACAGAAACUGUUCUAGCCCAAGGAGGGAGGGCUGGGCAAUGUUAUUCUUCUGAAGGGGAAAAUCAUCAUUUGGCUUCUUGGGUUUAUGUACCCAGGGCACCAGGGAAGCAGCUGGAAUUUGCCUGGAAACCACAAUGCUGUCGGCUUGGUUCUCAAUAGGCAACUGGGGACAAGACUGCAUUUGAUGGUCCAUCACCUGUCUUUCUGUUCUGCAUAAUAAGAACCCAUUCUCGGGGCAUCUUAUUGGCUCUGCUGAGUUUCGCAUUGUUUGGUUUCCUGUAAAGGUAUGUGUGUGCACACGUACGUCUCUGUGUGUGAAUAUGCAUAUGUAUGGAUAUGGGUAUGUACAUGGGGUAUAGGUAUGUGCCUGUGUGUAUGGAUGUAGGUAUGAGGGUGUGAGCAGGUGUAUAUAUGUGUAUGAACAUGUACAUAUGGGCAUAUGUACAUAGCUGUAUGUGUAAGUGACAAACACAUAGAGAUAUGGGUAAAUGGGUCCAUAUGUGUGUGAACACGAUAUGUUUGGGGCACAAGGGUGUGUGCGUGCGUGUGUGUGUGAGUCCACUUAUCUGAAUGUGUUUCUGUGUGUGUAUAUGUUUGUUUCUGCUUCCAUCAGGCACUCAGUAGGGGAUCCCAGAGCCAUACUGAGUCGAAGCUUCAGGAGAUGCAGAGACACAUCUGCAAGGGCCCCAGCAACCAGUGACCUAAACCUACUUGAGAAGCAGUGGAGGACAAAGGAAGAUCCGCACAAACUGAGUCCUGGGUCUGUCUCCCACAAGCAGGACAUCUCAGGAAAGGAUUCCUGCUCCCCAACUCCUAAUGGCCAUAAGGGUGGUCCUGAUUGCUGGGUGACACCAGCCAGAGCAGGGCUUCUCCCCUCCUGAAAGGGGAUGGCGGGAUGUCUGAUGGCAUUUGCCGCAAAAUCCCUCCUGAUUAAUCAGGCUCCUCCAAUUUGUGAGUCAGAAUUUCUUGGGGAGAGAAAUCUGCCUUGAGUGGAAUUAUCCUGAACUCUGAUAUCAAUGCAGGUAAGCUCUUCAAAAAGUAGAGGCAGAUCCUGGGACGCCAGGCUUCCUGGGGCUAGGAAACAAACUGUGUGAGAAGAAAAUGGUUGGACAGAAAAAAAUGCG
rnacentral:lncRNA from 1 species